AAGAGAGAGUUCAAGAGGACGUGAAACCACAAGGGACGAAACGGAUAGAGUUGAUGAGAGUGAUGGUGAUCAGCGUUGUUCGCAGCUCCUGCUGCCGGUCUGCUCUUGAUAAGGGGCUGCCGGUGGUGUGGGUGAGAGGCGGGCAGCGUGCUUUCAUUGUCACAAAAUGCUGGGACGUUUGAUUGCCCCUUCUGAAUCGUUAGGUGUAGCCCACUUCGGUGGUCACUUGCCUGUCGAGGAGGUUGAUGUGGCGAUUAAGCGGCUUGUCAGGACCUAGCCUUUGCGCGUUUCUCGUUGUCGCUCGUUCGCGGCGUUGUGAGUGGCUUGCCAUUAGCUUCGCUGUCGAGCCUGUGUUGGCGAGCGAUGCUCUGGUCCGUUCCCGGUGUGAAAGUCGACCACCUAUCCGACCCGUCUUGAAACACGGACCAAGAAGUCUAGUAUGUGCGCGAGUCAAUGGGUGCAAAACCUACUGGCGUAAUGAAAGUAAAGGUCGCUUUGUGUGGCUGAUAUGUGAUCCGUGGCUGCGGCCGCGGCGCAACAUAGCCCCAUGCCAACUGCAUGCAGUGGUGUGGAGGUAGAGCGUACAUACUGGGACCCGAAAGAUGGUGAACUAUGCCUGAGCAGGAUGAAGCCAGAGGAAACUCUGGUGGAGGUCCGAAGCGGUUCUGACGUGCAAAUCGAUCGUCUGACUUGGGUAUAGGGGCGAAAGACUAAUCGAACCAUC
rnacentral:rRNA from 1 species